CCUACGGGUGGCAGCAGUGAGGAAUAUUGGUCAAUAGACGAGAGUCUGAACCAGCCAAGUAGCGUGAAGGAUGACUGCCCUAUGGGUUGUAAACUUCUUUUAUAUGGGAAUAAAACGUUCCACGUGUGGGAUUUUGUAUGUACCAUAUGAAUAAGGAUCGGCUAACUCCGUGCCAGCAGCCGCGGUAAUACGGAGGAUCCGAACGUUAUCCGGAUUUAUUGGGUUUAAAGGGAGCGUAGGUGGAGUGUUAAGUCAGUUGUGAAAGUUUGCGGCUCAAACGUAAAAUUGCAGUUGAAACUGGCAGUCUUGAGUACAGUAGAGGUGGGCGGAAUUCGUGGUGUAGCGGUGAAAUGCUUAGAUAUCACGAAGAACUCCGAUUGCGAAGGCAGUUCACUGGACUGCAACUGACACUGAGGCUCGAAAGUGUGGGUAUCAAACAGGAUUAGAUACCCUUGUAGUC
rnacentral:rRNA from 1 species